CUCAGGGCCUCCACCAGAGAGGAACAAAAGGGCCUCUUGACCUCUUGGGAAUGGGAAGUGUUCACAGCUGAAUUCUCCUGGCAGACACUUUUCAGCAUCACCAGCUGCUCACUCCCCAGAGGCCCUGUCUCUGCUUAGCUCCAUGAUGGGUAUAAGCACAUUUGGCCAUAAACCCACCUAGCUGUGGGAUUGCAGCUACCACCUCACAGGGAGCUCACUCUGAGAAAGUCUUGAGCUGGACAGCUGGACAUACUGAGAGUCUCUUGGUCUGGCCCUUCCAUGUAUCAGUCCCUCACCAUGCCUCUCUGCAUCCUCACGCUUCAGGCUACAGCCAGACUGAGAAGUUUCCUGAAGAUGCCUUGUGAUUUCUCUUUUCUCCAUGGUUUCUUCUGCCUGGAGUAGUCUCCACCUGCCCAUUCCCCUGUCUUUGCCCAGUGAACUCAUCCUCACUCUUCUGCUUGGUUCAGGUUUCUCCUUUCCUCUGAGCCAGAGGCCUUCCCUGUGGACCUCCUAACUCCUGUGGCACCUCCAAUGUCAUGCUGUUCACAAGGUGUCAUUGUCUAUUAAUUUUCUCAAAAUGCCUGUGGGCUCCCUGAUGGCAGGGACCUGGUCCAAUUUAUGUUGGAGUCCAAGUACCUGGAUCAUGACAGGUGCUCAGGUCUGUGCUGGCUGGCUGACUGUGUGGGUACAUUGUGCUAGAACCUUUCCUGUUGCUCAGAGUCAAACCUUGGUGUGCAUGAGGUGUGCAGGUGAGGGUUACAGCAUAUAAGAAGAUACACCUGACCCUCAGGCUCACAGGAUAAAUAAAACACACUGUCAUUUAAGGGAAGCUGAGAAAAUGCAUCUAUGGGUUGGCGAGAGACCUGGGCUUCAGUACUAACCCUGCUUCACGUUGACUCUGAGCAAUCUCCUCACCUGUCCAAGCUUGUUUCCUGAGCUCUAAAAUUGGAACCACAACCCCUGCUUAGCCUGCCUAACAGAGUUAUUGUGAGGAUCAGGUGCAACAAUGUCCCUGAAAUUACAGAAAACUGUGAGUUGGUGUGUUAGUACUUUGAGGGCGAGUUCAAUGCUGCGAUGUGACAGUGCCCACUAGAGGGUGUGGCAGAGCAGGUCAGGCCCUCCUUGAUUGAGCCCUGUGGACGGGAAGUGCCACCUCUGUGCAAGAACUUGGGCUGGUCCAGAAAAGGGGGAUUCAGGGUUUAAAAUAUAUCAUGCCCAGGCUCCCUUCUGCUCAUGUUUCUAUAUAUUCAAAUGACGUCUCUGAAGUGCUAAUAGUAGUAGUGUUAGUUGCUGAGUUGUGUCUGACUCUUUGCGACCCCACGGACUGUAGCCCACCAGGCUCCNNNNNNNNNNNNNNCCAGGCAAGAAUACUGGAGUGAGUAGCCAUUCUCUUCUCCAGAGGAUCUUUCCAACCCAGGGAUCGAACUUGGGUCUCCUGCAUUGCAUCUUCUGAAGUGCUAGAAGAGAAAGAAACAGAGAAGCCCAGGGGAAGGCACACUGAGCAAGCUGAACUCUCGGCUUUAUUAACAGGGUGGUUAUGGGUGGAGUGAAAGCGUAAGACCUUGGGUUCUUUCCUUUGAGCAUGUUUUCCUCUGAUUAGCUCAGGAGCCUGGAUCCCAGGGCUCCGAGACUGUUGUCUGAUGAGGGCAGGUACAUUUCCCAGCCUUUGGAAUGCCACCUUAGUGGAAGGACCCUGAGAUCUGUGCUGAGCUCUCUCUGUGGAGGCCUGAAGCUUGCAGGCUUGGCCUUACAGUUGAUUAGCUCCCUCUUUGCUGGGGCGGGUGGGACCAGACAAAGAGGCCAACUAGAGGAGAGUGCUCUAACCCAAUUUGCUGUGCAGAGAAGCCAGUCUGUCUGGCAAAAAAUAAUUGGAAAGCUGCUUCCUCUAAGCCUGGACCCAGGAGAGCACUAGGCCUUGCUGGGCGGGGGCCCUUUGGCUAGGCCCACAUCACUUAGUGCUUUGUGGGGGCUGCUCCCAGCGGGAGAGCACUUAGCCCUGGUAAUUGGUCAGGCGGGCUCAUCAUUAAUUCAUGCCAAAUUGUAUUUCUCUUUUUAAGAGCGAGACAGAGAAAAGUGGGGGUAGGUGGGAAUAAAUGAGUUUUCAAAGGGAGGAUUCUGUCUCAGGGCUUGGUCGAAGGAGCUUCAACUUGGGAGGAGGGAGAUCAGGGAUUCAUUUGCUAACUUGCCAUUGAUCCGAACAAGUUAUCUUCCCAUAGGAGGUCUUGCUUUCCUAAUCUGUGUUAGGAAACAAUAACCAUGCUCAGAAAUGUCUUUGAGGAUUGAAUCCAGAUGUGAGAGAGGCAUGCUCAUCACAUGGUCAUUUCAACAGACCCAGGGAGGCAGGGAGUCAUCUACAUUUCAUGCCAUUAUUGAUGCAAAGUGGGGUAGAUUUACAUCUGUCAUCUUUGGGAUGGACAGUAUUUUUUAAUGACUCCAUUUUAUCUCUUUUAUUGGUGUAUUGACUCUUUGCGGUGCUGCUUUAGUGGUUUUUUAGGGUUUAUAGUAAACAUUACCAUCAGCAUGUNNNNNNNNNNNNNNNNNNNNNNNNNNNNNAGAGUUAUAGGGCCCUUUCAAUAGUGUACUUCUGUUUCUCCCCAUCCGACAUUUAUGUGAACUGGGUCAAACAUUGCACGUGUAAAUUCCACAAUAUAUUGCUAUUAUUUUUGUUUAAACAGUCACUUAUCUUAAAAAUUUUCUAUUGUGGUAAGAUACAUACAACAUAAAGCUAACCAUCUAACCAUUUUAAAUGUACAGUUCAGUGUUAUUAAAUACAUUCAUAAUGUUGCACAACCAUCAGUACUAUCCAUCUCCAUAGCUCUUUUCAUUUUGCAAAACUGAAAUUCUAUACUUACUAAAGUC
rnacentral:lncRNA from 1 species